rnacentral:tRNA from 1 species
CUAGAGUGCAAAUCUAGAGACGAACCCUAAAGGUGUUCCGGGGCU